UAAAUACCUAUGCAAGCGACCGACUAGCUAGUCCGCAGAAUGAGGUGCUUUACCUUUUUGCUUAACUGGAUGGGAAUAACAGCCGCUCCGCCGGACGCCGCACAAGAUCCACCCGUUCUAGGCGCGGGUGAUGCCUCCUUGGCUGCUGUUCCCACAGCUCAACCUUCAGCUGUUCCAGGUCCGUUGAAUGCCAUUCAUGCUCCAGGGGGUAUCGUUCCUGGUCAUCCAAUUCCCGAUGGAAAGGACCCUGCGCCCCCUCGGCUGAACUAGCACAAUUAAAAUAAGCUGGUGUUCACAUAAGAAUCUGCCUUUCUUUUUCACUGUGUGAUCCAAUUUGAAUUCGAAGCAAUCUUGGGGCAAGAAAGUUGCAUUAUCUGUCAAUGUUGUAAAAUUUCCUGAUCUUUUGUGUUACUUCUUCGUUGUGCUACCUUGGGUCAGUAAGCUGUCUUCACAUCACAAUUUGCCUUUGUCUUCACAGUGUGAUCAUAUUUGGAAUAUAAAUGAUCUUGUUGCAA